CCUACGGGUGGCUGCAGUGGGGAAUAUUGGACAAUGGGGGCAACCCUGAUCCAGCCAUGCCGCGUGUGUGAAGAAGACCCUCGGGUUGUAAAGCACUUUCAGUGAGGAAGAACGCCUGGUGGUUAAUACCCAUCAGGAAAGACAUCACUCACAGAAGAAGCACCGGCUAACUCCGUGCCAGCAGCCGCGGUAAUACGGAGGGUGCGAGCGUUAAUCGGAAUUACUGGGCGUAAAGCGCGCGUAGGUGGCUUGAUAAGCCGGUUGUGAAAGCCCCGGGCUCAACCUGGGAACGGCAUCCGGAACUGUCAAGCUAGAGUGCAGGAGAGGAAGGUAGAAUUCCCGGUGUAGCGGUGAAAUGCGUAGAGAUCGGGAGGAAUACCAGUGGCGAAGGCGGCCUUCUGGACUGACACUGACACUGAGGUGCGAAAGCGUGGGUAGCAAACAGGAUUAGAUACCCUGGUAGUC
rnacentral:rRNA from 1 species